rnacentral:rRNA from 1 species
UACGGGGGGGAGCAAGCGUUGUUCGGAUUUACUGGGCGUAAAGGGCGCGUAGGCGGCCACUGCAAGUCAGUUGUGAAAUCUCCGGGCUUAACCCGGAAAGGUCAACUGAUACUGCAGGGCUAGAGUGCAGAAGAGGAAAGCGGAAUUCCACGUGUAGCGGUGAAAUGCGUAGAGAUGUGGAGGAACACCAGUGGCGAAGGCGGCUUUCUGGUCUGUAACUGACGCUGAGGCGCGAAAGCGUGGGGAGCAAACAGG